rnacentral:tRNA from 1 species
AGAAAUUUAGGUUAAUUAAAACCGAGGACCUUCAAAGCCCUAAACAUGAGAACUCUUAAUUUCUG